rnacentral:rRNA from 1 species
AUUGGAUUAGUCAAGAAGUGUAUGAAUCUCCCUUUUGUGAUACUCGUGGUGUUGAUAGGUUGUAUAAGGACCAAACUCUUUUUGUGAGUAUGCAAGCACUAGUUGAUCCUUUAGAUGACAAAAUCAAUUCUUUUCAUAAGAAUGAUUUAUGUCUAUCUAGUGCUAGCACUUAUAACUUGAAUAAGGUUCCAUUAUCAUUUGACAAGAGUAUUCACAAACUACAUUACCCUCUUGUAGAUGAUAGUACCUUGGUUGAUGUCUUCACACUUGAUUCCUUCCUAUACUACCUCUUUUCCUAUGAUGAUAACUAUGUUAAUUUUGAAUUGAUAUUAUGUAGAGGUAGUAAGCUUGGUGUCUGUUUUCCUUUCUUGAAUAAAGAUGAUUGUAUUUUUUCCUUUCUUUAAUGAAGAUUAUUGUGAGUUUUAUUCUCUAGUAAAAGGAAUGGCUAACCUCGGCUUAGAUUUUUGUCUAUUUCAUUCAUUUGAUCCCGGUAUACUAUUGGGGUGGGGAAGGAUGUGUUUUGGAUUGCAUUCCUUUUUUCUUGAUAUCUGUCUUAACCAUGUCCUUUGUGAUGUUUGUAGUAAGUAUUUCAUGAUUGUAACAAAGGAUAGUUGGGUGUAUUCCAAAAGUGUACCCCCUUGGCAUAAUUGUAUUGUUGAUCUUGAUAAAGUAUAUGGUCCUUUGAACAUGUGUAAUGAAAGCCCUUAUGUUAAUCUUGUUGAUAAUGACCCCUAGUGGUAGGUAAUGCCUUGAAUGAUUGUGAACUUGAUAACCUAGUGAAAGGAGUGGGCCAUCUCGACUUAAACCUUUAUCAUUUGCUCCCAUUUGACCCUGGAAUACUCUUGAGAUGUGAAGGAUAUAGUUGCUGGUCGUGCUCACUUAUUUUUGAUAUUGAUGCUAUUCAUGUCUUUGUUAUACUUUAUGCUAAGUUUUUUUAUGUCAAAAAGCAAGGAUAUGUGGAUGUAUGUCAAGUGUGAGCAACCAUGAGUUAAUGAUAUAAGUGUGGUGCUAAUACUAACCCUCCUACCAAGAGGAUUUUGUGUUUGUUUUUGCUCUCUCUUUGGUUUUUGCAAGAUCUGAAUUUGAGGAAAAAUUCCUCCAAGAUGGAGAGGAUGAUACAAGCACAAUGAGCCUCAAGAGCACAACCAAAAUGGAGAGGAUGAUACAAGCACAAUGAGCCUCAAGAGCACAAGAUAUUGUCUAAGGGUUAAGGCUUUGGAAUUGACAAGCAAUUAAAGACUUUUUGAAGUAUUUUGAAGCCUUGGUCAAGAGAAGGAAGAAGGGGAAUUUAUACACCCAUAGGCGCCUCAAAGGAAGGAUAAUGAAGACUUUUUACACUUCAAAAGAGCACUCUAUAGGCGCCUCCUUUUAAGUCCUCAUUAAGGGCAUUUUUGUCCUUUGGCAUGUAAUAGUAUAAAUAGACCCUUUAGCUUGUAUUUUCAUUAGACUUUGAUGAAUUGAAAUUGAGUAUUACUCAUAGUUUGUAGAUCUAACCAAUUAUGCUCUAUUUAACCAGCAUAUUAGUAGUUGCUUGAGAAGAUGGUACUAAUAUUUUUUACAUCAGUAUUCGUACUGAAUGCAAUUGUAGCCGUUGGCUAUAGCUUAAAUUGGCAUACAUACAUACUGUAAAAGAAGGGAAGGGACCCAUUUAACGGCUUAAAAUGUUUUGGAUAUCUUUAGAAAGUUAGGGUUUUCACUUGUCUUGGAUGAUUUGGCAAGAAAGGUGUGCUUGAGGAAGUGUGUUUCCUUUGGGUCACCUAAGAGGGAGGUUUAAACUCUUAUAUGUGAGGUGUGUUGAAGAUUUUGAAACAUCUUCUAGUGCUAAUCAUUGAAUAGCAGUAAGGGUCUGUUUAUCUAUCCUUUAAUUUCAAGCAUUCUUCUUCUUUAUCUCCAUUCUAUAUGUUGUUUUCUCUUUAUUUGGUUUCUGGAAUUUACAUCUUAUAGCCAAUUUCAUGUUUUUGGUAGUCUUUAGGCUAUCACGUCGGCCCAGUGCCGGAAGGUCAAGAAAGUUGGUGACCUGAUGACAGGGGAGCCGGCGACCAAAGCCCUGGUGAACAGCAACCGUAACUAUAACGGUCCUAAGGUAGCGAAAUUCCUUGUCGGGUAAGUUCUAACCCACACGAAAGGCGUAACGAUCUGGGCACUGUCUCGGUGAGAGGCUCGGUAAAAUAGACAUGUCUGUGAAGAUAAGGACUACCUGCACCUGGAAAGAAAGACCCUGUGAAGCUUCACUGUUCCCUGGGAUUGGCUUUGGGCCUUUCCUGCGCAGCUUAGGUGGAAGGCGAAGAAGGCCUUUUCCGCGGGGGACCCAAGCCAUCAGUGAGAUAUUACUCUGGAAGGGAUAGAAUUCUAACCUUGUGUCAGGACCUAUGGGCCAAGGGACAGUCUCAGGUAGACAAUUUCUAUUAGGCGUAGGCCUCCCAAAUGGUAACGGAGGUGUGCAAAGGUUUCCUCGGGCCGGACGGAGAUUAUCCCUCGAGUGCAAAGGCAGAAGGGAGCUUGACUACAAGACCCACUCGUCGACCAGGGACAAAAGUCGGCCUUAGUAAUCUGACGGUGCCGAGUGGAAGGGCCAUCGCUCAAUGGAUAAAAGUUACUCUAGGGAUAACAGGCUGAUCUUCCCCAAGAGGUUACAUCAACAAAAAGGUUUGGCACCUCGAUGUCGGCUCUUCGCCACCUGGGGCUGUAGUAUGUUCCAAGGGUUGGGCUGCUCUCCCAUUAAAGCGGUACGUGAGAUGGGUUCAGAAUGUCAUGAGAUAAUUUGGUCCAUAUUCGGUGUGGGCGUUAGAGCAUUGAGAGGACCUUUCCCUAGUACGAGAGGACCGAGAAGGACGCACCUCUGGUGUACCAGUUAUCGUGCCCACGGUAAAUGCUGGGUAGCCAAAUACGGAGCAGAUAACUGCUGAAAGUAUAUAAGUAGUAAGCCCACCCCAAGAUGAGUUCUCUCCUAUUCCAACUUUCCCAAAGCUUUCGGUAGCACAGCCGAGACAGUGACAGGUUCUCUGCCCCUGCGGGGAUGGAGCGACAGAAGUGUUUUUGAGAAUUUAAGAGAAGUUCACGGCGAGACAAGCCAUUUAUCAUUACGAUAGGU